rnacentral:rRNA from 1 species
GGGGAAUAUUGCACAAUGGGCGAAAGCCUGAUGCAGCAACGCCGCGUGAGUGAUGAAGGUCUUCGGAUUGUAAGGCUCUGUCUUUUGGGACGAUAAUGACGGUACCAAAGGAGGAAGCCACGGCUAACUACGUGCCAGCAGCCGCGGUAAUACGUAGGUGGCGAGCGUUGUCCGGAUUUACUGGGCGUAAAGGGUGCGUAGGCGGAUGUUUAAGUGAGAUGUGAAAUACCCGGGCUUAACUUGGGUGCUGCAUUUCAAAGCUGGAUAUCUAGAGUGCAGGAGAGGAGAAUGGAAUUCCUAGUGUAGCGGUGAAAUGCGUAGAGAUUAGGAAGAACACCAGUGGCGAAGGCGAUUCUCUGGACUGUAACUGACGCUGAGGCACGAAAGCGUGGGUAGCAAACAGGAUUAGAUACCCUGGUAGUCCACGCCGUAAA